rnacentral:rRNA from 1 species
UACGAAGGGGGCUAGCGUUGCUCGGAAUCACUGGGCGUAAAGGGUGCGUAGGCGGGCCUUUAAGCCGGGGGUGAAAGCCUGUGGCUCAACCACAGAAUGGCCUUCGAUACUGGGACGCUUGAGUAUGGUAGAGGUUGGUGGAACUGCGAGUGUAGAGGUGAAAUUCGUAGAUAUUCGCAAGAACACCGGUGGCGAAGGCGGCCAACUGGACCAUUACUGACGCUGAGGCGCGAAAGCGUGGGGAGCAAACAGG